rnacentral:rRNA from 1 species
UACAGAGGUCUCAAGCGUUGUUCGGAUUCAUUGGGCGUAAAGGGUGCGUAGGCGGGUUGGUAAGUCCGUGGUGAAAUCUCCGAGCUUAACUCGGAAACUGCCGUGGAUACUAUCAAUCUUGAAUAUCGUGGAGGUAAGCGGAAUAUGUCAUGUAGCGGUGAAAUGCUUAGAUAUGACAUAGAACACCAAUUGCGUAGGCAGCUUACUACACGAUCAUUGACGCUGAGGCACGAAAGCGUGGGGAGCAAACAGG